UACGUAGGGUGCGAGCGUUGUCCGGAAUUAUUGGGCGUAAAGAGCUCGUAGGCGGCUUGUCGCGUCGGAUGUGAAAGCCCGGGGCUUAACUCCGGGUCUGCAUUCGAUACGGGCAGGCUAGAGUUCGGUAGGGGAGAUCGGAAUUCCUGGUGUAGCGGUGAAAUGCGCAGAUAUCAGGAGGAACACCGGUGGCGAAGGCGGGUCUCUGGGCAAUAACUGACGCUGAGGAGCGAAAGCGUGGGGAGCGAACAGG
rnacentral:rRNA from 1 species